rnacentral:piRNA from 1 species
UAAUGAGGACCCUGUGGAGCAGACA